GGUUAAUAGGCAAAAAGAUCACUGAACUCAUGGCCAACUUGCAGUUGGGUCAUUGAACUCAAAAAGUUUGCAAACGGAUCACAGAACUAAAUUUAAGUUGCAGUCAACUCACUGAACUAAUAAAAACUUGCAUUUAGGUCACUGUGCCGUUAAGAAUGAGUUGACUUUAACGGAAUCCGUUAAAGAUAAUAAUAAAAAAUAUAAAAAAAU
rnacentral:lncRNA from 1 species